rnacentral:rRNA from 1 species
GGACGAGGGGCCCCUCUCGGGUUACCGAAUUCAGACAAACUCCGAAUGCCAAUUAAUUUAACUUGGGAGUCAGAACAUGGGUGAUAAGGUCCGUGUUCGAAAGGGAAACAGCCCAGACCACCAGCUAAGGUCCCAAAAUAUAUGUUAAGUGGAAAAGGAUGUGGCGUUGCCCAGACAACUAGGAUGUUGGCUUAGAAGCAGCCAUCAUUUAAAGAGUGCGUAAUAGCUCACUAGUCGAGUGACACUGCGCCGAAAAUGUACCGGGGCUAAACAUAUUACCGAAGCUGUGGAUUGUCCUUUGGACAAUGGUAGGAGAGCGUUCUAAGGGCGUUGAAGCAUGAUCGUAAGGACAUGUGGAGCGCUUAGAAGUGAGAAUGCCGGUGUGAGUAGCGAAAGACGGGUGAGAAUCCCGUCCACCGAUUGACUAAGGUUUCCAGAGGAAGGCUCGUCCGCUCUGGGUUAGUCGGGUCCUAAGCUGAGGCCGACAGGCGUAGGCGAUGGAUAACAGGUUGAUAUUCCUGUACCACCUAUAAUCGUUUUAAUCGAUGGGGGGACGCAGUAGGAUAGGCGAAGCGUGCGAUUGGAUU